UCCCUACGGGACGCAGCAGUGGGGAAUAUUGCGCAAUGGGCGAAAGCCUGACGCAGCGACGCCGCGUGAGAGAUGAAGGUCUUCGGAUCGUAAACCUCUGUCAGCAGGGAAGAACGGUCACUGUGCUAAUCAGCAGUGAAUUGACGGUACCUGCAAAGGAAGCACCGGCUAACUCCGUGCCAGCAGCCGCGGUAAUACGGAGGGUGCGAGCGUUAAUCGGAAUUACUGGGCGUAAAGCGCUCGUAGGCGGUAUGUCAAGUCAAGGGGGAAGUCCCCGCGCUCAAAGUGGAAACUGCCUUUGAAAG
rnacentral:rRNA from 1 species